GAGCAAUCCACGAAACGGAGGCAGGGGCUCAUCCCAGAUGGCCUGGCUGCUCUCUGUGAAGAUGCUCAGUCUCUCCUACUAGGUGUUCAUUGAGAAAAAACAUUGGUCUCAUUGAGGCCCUUGGUCUCUGCUACACCAUCGAUGCUGGGCCCUCACUAGGACUCUCUCUUCCUGGACAGUCCAUUGCUGCCCUGUGUUGUGGAGAUUCUGCAGCCCUGGGUCUGCAGGACUGAAGCAAGAUCCUAGUUAGUCUUAACAAUAAAAACCUGGAGUCACGUAAAA